GUUUUGUUGGAGACAUCUGGUAUCAAGACCUCUGGCAGCAUCUGCGUACCUUGAAGCCACUUCCGCUCCUAUUUCUGCAAAUCCAAAUUAUCUGGGCAAUAUGAAGUCACGCCUUGACACUACAUUACUGAGUCCGUCCAGCUCUGUGACUCUCAACUCUUGGUCGGGGUCUAGAUUAGUCCACCUCCCGAAAGAGGGCAAGAUUGGGCCACCACUGAGCCCUAUGAAGAUCCUUGAACAAGGCAUGACUCUGUCGCUUGCGAUCCUAGCCAUGUUUACUCGGAACUUAAGUUACAAUGCAGAAAGCAAGCAAUACACUUGGAAGAUAGCUCCAGAUCAGUUCGCCAGGAUCCACUCAGAUACUAUUCAGCCUCUCCAAAGGAGCCAUAAACGAUCUGGGGCGUUGGUUGAAAAAUCAAACUGAGGAGAGACGCCAACAGAGCCAUCAGGAUGAAGAUGAGUCAACUUCGAUGACUGAACUGUGAUUGAAGCAGUGCACAGCUGACCUAACUGUGGCAUGGUCCCAGUCACUUGGGGCAACUGAGCAUGAGGUACAACCGUCCACCUAUUCAUACGUCCAUGUGAAGUUGAGUAGAUAUUCAGUAGCUUGGAGAAUCAAAUGGCAACCAAUUCUUUUCAAAUAGUGUUAGCAAUAAAUGUGCUAGUCUAUUUCAAAAUGUGUUGACUGCAAUUAUAUCUGUACAUAAUGUAUUUGAAUGUAAUGACAUUUGUGUAGUCUACAUGCAGACAAAAUACAGAGAGGCAUACACUUCCACAAGAGCACUUUAACAAUAGUUCUAUAGAACCUGAACCACAAAUGUGAUGGGCAUGGCAGCAGGAAGGAAAACAAAUAAAAAUAACUAGCUGUAGAGGUAAAAUGUAUUGCAUAAACAUCUGUAGUCUAAUUUCAUUUUACCAGCAUACUUUCCUCUGUAAAUCAGAUAGUUUUUAGUCUUUUGGCUUGAUUCAUGAUUGGAACCAUAGUUUUCUUUUAGUACACAACACAGGGAGAUCAGCACAAAUCAUUAGGCUGGAAAAAUCAAUCUGAUUUUAAGUAUUUUUAUUAACAGAAGCCAUAAAAAUUAGGGCCAGUGUACAAAUGUGAACUGGAAAUUUUCAGAUCUUAGUUGUAAUAGCUUCUAAGUCUGAAGAUUCCUUGUGAA